AUGUACAAGAUGCCAUGCGCUCCAUUCAUAGGAAUAAAUAACCAUAAUCAGUCAUUGCAGUUCGGAUGCAGGCUUGUUCAGAACAAAGACACGGAUGGGUACGUUUGGCUGUUCAAGACCUUCUUGGAUUGCAUGGAUGGACUUGCUCCGAUGAACAUAAUAACAGACCAGGAUUUUAGCAUGCAUGCAGGAAUAGAGGAGGUCUUUCCGUUCGCAGUGCACAUGCACUGCAGGUGGCACAUUAUAAAGAAGGCUGAGGAGACGCUAGGAUCAUUCUUUGCUGACCGUCCAGAGCUGCACAGGGCAUUCGAGCUGUGCGUGGACCAUAGCUUGACGGUGGAGGAGUUUGAAAGGAGCUGGAUGGCCAUGAUUGAAACAUAUCAAGUCCAAGACAAUGAGACUCUUGCUAGCCUAUGGGAGAAGCGAAUGUAUUGGGUGCCGGCCUACUUCAUGUAG
rnacentral:rRNA from 1 species